rnacentral:rRNA from 1 species
AGUGAACGCUGGCGGUAGGCCUAACACAUGCAAGUCGAACGGCAGCACAGUAAGAGCUUGCUCUUACGGGUGGCGAGUGGCGGACGGGUGAGGAAUACAUCGGAAUCUACUUUUUCGUGGGGGAUAACGUAGGGAAACUUACGCUAAUACCGCAUACGACCUACGGGUGAAAGCAGGGGAUCUUCGGACCUUGCGCGAUUGAAUGAGCCGAUGUCGGAUUAGCUAGUUGGCGGGGUAAAGGCCCACCAAGGCGACGAUCCGUAGCUGGUCUGAGAGGAUGGUUCGCCACACCUGAACUGAGAACAGGUCCCAGAUCCUACGGGAGGCAGCAGUGGGGAAUAUUGGACAAUGGGCGCAAGCCUGAUCCAGCCAUACCGCGUGGGUGAAGAAGGCCUUCGGGUUGUAAAGCCCUUUUGUUGGGAAAGAAAAGCAGCAGGUUAAUACCCCGCUGUUCUGACGGUACCCAAAGAAUAAGCACCGGCUAACUUCGUG